rnacentral:rRNA from 1 species
CAGCAGCCGCGGGAAUACGGAGGGAGCUAGCGUUGUUCGGAAUUACUGGGCGUAAAGCGCGCGUAGGCGGUUAUUUAAGUCAGGGGUGAAAGCCCGGUGCUCAACACCGGAACAGCCCUUGAGACUGGAUAACUUGAAUCCAGGAGAGGUGAGUGGAAUUCCGAGUGUAGAGGUGAAAUUCGUAGAUAUUCGGAAGAACACCAGUGGCGAAGGCGGCUCACUGGACUGGUAUUGACGCUGAGGUGCGAAAGCGUGGGGAGCAAACAGGAUUAGAUACCCCGGUAGUCCCUGUCUCUUAUAC